ACCGGUGACAAUACUGCAAGGGUCCCACCCGUUCCCAUCCCGAACACGGAAGUUAAGCCUUGCAAGGCCGAUGGUACUGCGCGCGCAGGUGCGUGGGAGAUUAGGAUAUCGCCGGUA
rnacentral:rRNA from 1 species